rnacentral:rRNA from 1 species
AGGGGAAUUGGCCCUUUAGGUAGCGGCGAGUGAAGCGGCAAAAGCUCAAAUUUGAAAUCUGGCUCUUUCAGAGUCCGAGUGUAAUUUGAAGAAGGUAUCUUUGGGUCUGGCUCUUGUCUAUGUUUCUUGGAACAGAACGUCACAGAGGGUGAGAAUCCCGUGCGAUGAGAUGAUCCAGGCCUAUGUAAAGUUCCUUCGAAGAGUCGAGUUGUUUGGGAAUGCAGCUCUAAGUGGGUGGUAAAUUCCAUCUAAAGCUAAAUAUUGGCGAGAGACCGAUAGCGAACAAGUACAGUGAUGGAAAGAUGAAAAGAACUUUGAAAAGAGAGUGAAAAAGUACGUGAAAUUGUUGAAAGGGAAGGGCUUGAGAUCAGACUUGGUAUUUUGUAUGUUACUUCUUCGGGGGUGGCCUCUACAGUUUAUCGGGCCAGCAUCAGUUUGGGCGGUAGGAGAAUUGCGUUGGAAUGUGGCACGGCUUCGGUUGUGUGUUAUAGCCUUCGUCGAUACUGCCAGCCUAGACUGAGGACUGCGGUUUAUACCUAGGAUGUUGGCAUAAUGAUCUUAAGUCGCCCGUCUUGAACCACCGGACCA